CUUCACCACAGAAUGAUAGAAACAAAGACUUCUCUUGAAAAAGAGCUCCAUCAAGUGAAGUCUGAGCUCAAACAGAAAGAAGAUGAACUAGAAUCAGUUAAUAAAAGACUGACUGAGACAAAAGCUUCUAAUGAAAGUGAGAUCCAGAAAAUCAGGUCUGCUUUAGAAGAA